GUUGGGGACUCGCUGGAUGUGGAUGUGCUUUGUGACCUCUCCCCACUCAAACAAAAGUCGAGUUCGCAGGGCCGUGGGUGCAUGGCGAGCAGCUCCUUCCUUGAGGCACCGCCAUUGAUCAGAGCGUAUUGUGUGUUCUUGAUGGUCCAAGGCAGACAUAUUUUUGGCGAAGAUCGCUCAGGAGGUAACCCAGAUCAUGAAGGCAUUUCUGCCGAGCCGAAUGUUUUGUUUCUCCCGAUGUGUCUUGUUGAGAUUUUCCUGUGACAUGGAGCUGGAGUUGGGCCCCGACUCUCCGUGUUCACAGCGGACCUUGAUUUAAUGUUAUACAAUUAAGGCACGCGGUGAAUGCCAAGAGAGGGGCCGCCGGGCGUCCUGGGCAGUCCCAGAACACAGGCAGCAGCCCUGGGCCAGAUACUGGCGGCGAGGGAAUCAUGCUACAGCUCGCCCUCCUUGUGGAAAUGUGUUCGCCCCGCCGAGUCUCUCGUAUCGACAACAUCAAGCACCUGCUCAACGGGCAGACAUUCUCAAUUGAUCCGUUUUGAUGCCGGGAAAUGGGCUGGGGGGUUUGGGGGAAACACUCGUACCUUUUCUCCCCUCUCACAAUAUUCUUUUUGUGUAAGGAAAAUGAAGUUGACGGACGAGCUGUUGUUGCCAUUUAAGAUGCUGGCGCCAUUUGAAUUGGAAAUUGUUACUGUCUCACAAAUAAAUUCAUUCAUGCUCUA